rnacentral:rRNA from 1 species
AUUGAACGCUGGCGGCAGGCCUAACACAUGCAAGUCGAACGGAUGGCGGACGGGUGAGUAAUGUCUGGGAACCUGCCUGAUGGAGGGGGAUAACUACUGGAAACGGUAGCUACUACCGCAUACCAUCAGAUGUGCCCAGAUGGGAUGAGCUAGUUGGUGGGGUAACGGCUCACAAAGGCGACGAUCCCUAACUGGUCUGAGAGGAUGACCAGCCACACUGGAACUGAGACACGGUCCAGACUCCUACGGGAGGCAGCAGUGGGGAAUAUUGCACAAUGGGCGCAAGCCUGAUGCAGCCAUGCCGCGUGUAUGAAGAAGGUUUUCGGGUUGUAAAGUACUUUCAGCGGGGAGGCGGUACCUGCAGAAGAAGCACCGGCUAACUCCGUGCCAGCAGCCGCGGUAAUUC